UGUGGUGGCGAAAGCCUGAAGGAUACACCUGUUCCCAUGCCGAACACAGAAGUUAAGCUUCAGUACGCCAAGAGUAGUUGGGGGAUCGCCCCCUGCAAGGGUAGGACGUUGCCACGC
rfam:Lactobacillus fructivorans strain DmCS_002 contig2, whole genome shotgun sequence.